rnacentral:rRNA from 1 species
CCCUUAGAUGUUCUGGGCCGCACGCGCGCUACACUGUUUGAUUCAGCGAGUCUUAACCUUGACCGAAAGGUUUGGGCAAUCUUCUAAAGUCAAACGUGAUGGGGAUCGAUCAUUGCAAUUAUUGAUCGUGAACGAGGAAUUCCUAGUAAAUGCAAGUCAUCAGCUUGCGUUGAUUACGUCCCUGCCCUUUGUACACACCGCCCGUCGCUACUACCGAUUGAAUGGUUUAGUGAGAUCUCCGGAUUGGCUCUGUAGGUCCCGCAAGGGAUUUAUUAGUAGCCAAGAAGCUGCUCAAACUUGAUCAUUUAGAGGAAGUAAAAGUCGUAACA